AUUGAACGCUGGCGGCAGGCCUAACACAUGCAAGUCGAACGAGUGGCGGACGGGUGAGUAAUUUCUGGGAAACUGCCUGAUGGAGGGGGAUAACUACUGGAAACGGUAGCUAAUACCGCAUACCAUCGGAUGUGCCCUGAUUGGAUUAGCUAGUAGGGGGGGUAAAGGCUCACCUAGGCGACGAUCCCUAGCUGGUCUGAGAGGAUGACCAGCCACACUGGGACUGAGCCACGGUCCAGACUCCGACGGGAGGCAGCAGUGGGGAAUAUUGCGCAAUGGGCGCAAGCCUGAUGCAGCCAUGCCGCGUGUAUGAAGAAGGCCUUCGGGUUGUAAAGUACUUUCAGCGGGGAGGCGUUACCCGCAGAAGAAGCACCGGCUAACUCCGUGCCAGCAGCCGCGGUAAUUC
rnacentral:rRNA from 1 species